GAUGAAGAACGUAGCGAAAUGCGAUAAUUAAUGUGAAUUGCAGAAUUCCGUGAAUCAUCGAGUCUUUGAACGCACAUUGCGCCUCAUGGCAUUCCGUGAGGCAUGCCCAUCUCAGCGUUAGAAAAUAUUCUCAAAUUUUAGUUUUGUGCUAAAAUUUGGAUCAUGUCAAAGAAGCUAUUACUAUUAUUGUGAUCGCUCUUUGGAAAUUGAUAGGUCUUUGAGUUGCUACUCAUAGAACGUGAUGAAUCUUUCUUCGUUCUAUUGUAAUUCACUCUGGUGGUCCUAAAACUUGUAUGCCUGUGGCAUAUCUUGUAAUUUGACCUGAGAUUGGGUAGGGAUACCCGCUGAACUUAAGCAUAUCAUAAGCGGAGGA
rnacentral:misc_RNA from 1 species